GUGGGGAAUUUUGGACAAUGGGCGCAAGCCUGAUCCAGCAAUGCCGCGUGCAGGAAGAAGGCCUUCGGGUUGUAAACUGCUUUUGUACGGAACGAAACGGUCCGGGUUAAUACCCUGGGCUAAUGACGGUACCGUAAGAAUAAGCACCGGCUAACUACGUGCCAGCAGCCGCGGUAAUACGUAGGGUGCAAGCGUUAAUCGGAAUUACUGGGCGUAAAGCGUGCGCAGGCGGUUUUGUAAGACAGGCGUGAAAUCCCCGGGCGCAACCUGGGAAUUGCGCUUGUGACUGCAAGGCUGGAGUGCGGCAGAGGGGGAUGGAAUUCCGCGUGUAGCAGUGAAAUGCGUAGAUAUGCGGAGGAACACCGAUGGCGAAGGCAAUCCCCUGGGCCUGCACUGACGCUCAUGCACGAAAGCGUGGGGAGCAAACAGGAUUAGAUACCCCUGUAGUCC
rnacentral:rRNA from 1 species